CAGUUCUGAAGCCCAGGUUCAAGAGAAAAUCAUGUACACAUUGUCUACAGAAGGAGGCAGAAAAGAAUCACCAGAACUCCUGUUCUGAUUCUGGAGUUCUACUGAAUCAUUGACAGCCAUGGCAACAUGAUGGGAAAGGAGACAGGAGCACCAUGCUAUUGGAGCUGUGAAGCAGAGAGACUGUUGCUGCUUGAGUUGAUUAUAGCUGGCAAGAAUAUCUCCUCCUGUGGAGCAAGGGAACCUUGGAGUCCUGAGAGCUCUUUCUUCGUAUAGAAUGCUUACAACUUUUCCAUUCUUUGCAAAGAGCCUGGAAGCCUGGAGUCGCCAAAUCUUAGAUAUCAAUAGGAAUGCUUCUCAAGAGUUAGACAUGGAAAUUUCCCUGACUCCUCUGAGUGAUGGUGGUUGAGCUACAGCAGUACAGUGGAAAAGCAGGACACUGUUUUAACACCUGUAUAAGAUCAUGUAACCAUCAUCUCAUGAACUGCUUUAUGUUUUCAGUUGGUUUGGGUUUUGCUGGGUUUUUUUGGUUUGUUUUUCUUUAGCUCACAUUUUCGUAAAGGUAGAAUAUAGAGAUUGCUUUCUUACUUUCCCCAUUCCUUUUGCCACUGCUGACAUAAACUGUUUCAUUAAAGACAUGGAUUAGGUAUAAAUUUUGGCUUGGUGCCCUUUGUAGUGCUCAAAAAUAUCCAGAAUGCUGCUGCACAAUUUAUUCCUGUAGCUUGUUCCCGUUUUGACAUCAGCCUUUAUUUUCUCUCUCUUUUCUGAUUCCUUUUCUUCUGUCACAUCAAAUAUAAGCUAGUAGUCUUUACUGUCUCUGAGCGUGAUGCCAGCCAAAAAAAUCCAACAACAAAAAAAAGCACUUGACAGUCAUUAUUAUGCUGUUGUGCUAAGUCUACUGCUUAGUACACUGACAAUAUUAGCUCAUCAUUUCCUUUAACUCUCUGUCUGUUUGCUUAUAUCCAUCUAGUUGUCUUUUGCCCUGUACUUAAUUUGAAAGCCCUUUGGAGCCAUCUGAAGAUCAGUAAAGUUCAGCCAUGGGCAUUACAGCAAUGAAAUUAAUAACUAUUAAUAUUAAUCUCUAGAAUCAGAUAGCAUGAGACUAUGAAAGGAGCUUUUAGAUCUAGAUGGAAUUACAACACUUCUAAUACUGCUGAUGAAGCAAUACUGAUUGUAUAAAAGCUGUGAAAACUGUACAGAUUUCAUAGAAAUGUAUGUAAAAAUAAAAUUAAUUCCAGUCUUCUUU